CUUUACUCAUCGAACCUUCUAGAACACAACUGCAUAUCCACUAUGUCAACGUCAGCAGCCGACGCCGUGGCCGGAGAAAUCACCGGUACCGACGACGGUGUUCUAGAAACUCCAUUCCUUGACUCGGAACGUUGGAACAUCCUCCAGAGUGUAACGGAGGAAGGAGGCUACGCAUACGCAACCAUGACGUCGCUCGCGGCGGCCGGAGAUAUACGAGCGGCGGAGGCGGCGAAAGAGAUGGCGUGGGAACAGUUACAUUCAGGUCCAUGGCAUUCGGUUGUUCCUAUAUGGAGAGAUGCGUAUUCAAUGGCGUGUAUGCAUUUGGCGAAACUUCAUUAUGCUAAUGGUGAGUUUAAUGAAGCGAUUAAAGCUUUAGAUAUGGGGAUUAUUAUGGGAGGAAUGAUGCUUAGGGAUGAAUUGAACCUCGCGAUUCGAAAGGCGUCGGAGAAGGAGAAAGCGAAGAGUGAUCUCGGAGAAAAAGGUGAAUCAGAGAUUAAAUUUGUUUCUCAAGAAAUUAACGUGGCGGAGGUGCAGCAGUCGCUACCUAUUAAGUCUCUGUCUUGUAAGUUAGUAGGGAAAAGGCCAGCCUUAUCGUUGGAGGCAUUUCUGAGAGAGCAUUAUUUAUCAGGAACUCCGGUGGUAAUCAGAGAUUCCAUGGAUCACUGGCCUGCUAAGAGUAGG
rnacentral:misc_RNA from 1 species